UAAGGCAUCUUAUUAAUAUUAAAGCUUCGGCACUUGAUGAUGGGUGUGCGGCUGAUUAGAUAGUUGGCGGGGUAACGGCCCACCAAGUCUACGAUCAGUAGCUGAUGUGAGAACAUGAUCAGCCACACGGGCACUGAGACACGGGCCCGACUCCUACGGGAGGCAGCAGUAAGGAAUAUUGGACAAUGGACGAAAGUCUGAUCCAGCCAUGCCGCGUGAAGGAUUAAGGUCCUCUGGAUUGUAAACUUCUUUUAUAUGGGACGAAAAAGGGCAUUCUUGUUCACUUGACGGUACCAUAUGAAUAAGCACCGGCUAACUCCGUG
rnacentral:rRNA from 1 species